CUUUUAAGGUUUUACCCUUAACAAUUUUGCUACUUCUUUUUUGGUGCAACAACUUUGCUACUUUGUUCACCAGUUUCCGUAAACAAGCACUUGAAUUUCACAUUUUCUUAUAUCAUUUUUUUUUCAUGGUCUCUAAAACUGAAGUGGAGCACAAUGAAAAAGGUAUAGUGGUAUUUCAAAGACGAAGGUAACUUGGCAGAUUAAAAAGCUGAUCAAUGGGAUUUAUUAUAGCAGCACCGGAUUGUUAAUGGUUUGAGUGGGCAUCAAAGUAAAAUAUAGAAAAAUUUAGGGUGAACUGGAGAAAUGUUGGAAGAAGUGAAGGCUGCAAUUGCAAUGCUGGUGGUCCAGUUUAUUUUCGCAGGAAUGUUCAUUUUGUUUAAGAUAACGGCCCACGAUGGUACAAAUCUCAGAAUCCUAGUGGCUUAUCGUCUCUCCUUCGCUACCCUUUUCAUGUUUCCCCUCGCCCUCAUCUUCCAAAGGAAGAAGCGACCGGAAUUUACACGAAGAUUGGUCUUAUUAGCAUUUCUUUCGGGGUUGCUUGGAGCGGCUAUACCAAAUAUUCUCUAUUUGCCGGGCCUGGUUCGUACAUCAGCUACAUUUUCGACUGCAGCCAGUAUCCUUAGUCCGGUGAUCACUUUGGUAUUGUCAUUGGCUUUUAGGAUGGAUACUCUACGGCUGGGAUCAAACGAAGGGAGAGCUAAGCUUCUGGGUACACUUCUUGGUGUUGGUGGGGCUCUCGUCUUUGUAUUCUAUAAAGGUUUUGAGCUUCAUAUUUGGUCAACACACGUUGACUUACUUAAAAGCUCUGGUCAAUCCUCUGGCCCUGCCACUGAGAACCACCACCACAUCUCAAUUUCAGGGGUUCUUAUGGUUUUUGGCUGUAACGUUUCGGUCUCUCUUUGGUUACUAUUGCAGGCAAAAAUAAGCAAGGAAUUUGGAGGACAUUGUUGGAACAUAAGUCUGAUGAAUGCGACGGGAAGCUUGGUGUGUAUGGUUGUUGCUCUCUGUUCGGAACAUAACUGGAAUCAAUGGCGAUUAGGGUGGAACAUUAGUCUGCUUACUACGGUUUAUUCGGGAGUCGUUGUUUCAGGGCUAGUCAUGCCUCUUGUUGCUUGGUGCAUUGAAAAAAAGGGACCGUUAUAUGUUACGGUGUUUAGCCCUAUAAGGCUGGUGAUCGUUGCCCUAGUCGGAUCAUUUGCGUUAGAGGAAACGCUUUAUUUGGGAAGUUUAAUUGGUGCAAUAAUAAUGGUGGGAGGAGUAUACCUAGUGGUGUGGUGUAAAAUGAAGGAAAAGAAGAGUGUCUCUACGACAACGGACCACGUUGAGACAAAUAAGAAUAUCAAAGAACUUGGGCUCCCAUCCAAAUGACAUUGCCUUCUUGAACUCUCAAUACCCGACCUAUACCACGUUGUCUUCCUUCCUUAGGCCAGACCACGUCCACGUUACAUUUUAAAACAGUUUGGUGGUAGUUUUUUUUUUUGUAAGAUACAGUUUGGUGGUAGUUGCUUCCAUUUUAUAUUAUCUGUUCUGCAAGGUUAAUUAUUUGUUUUUGUAUACCCCUUCUGAAUCAAAAUGUAUAAUAUUUUAGGUAGAACACACAAAAGUAAAAAGUUACUUUUACCUAAAAAGCAUCACUAAAAAUAUGAAUUAAAAAUAAUUCAAUGCAUUAUAAAAUACACUAUGAAAUAUAAUUGGCUGUACAAUUUUCAAUAAAAUUAGAAGUUAUCUAAAAAGUUGAAAACAUCUCGUAUUUUUUAACAUAAAACAUUCUUAAACAUCUUGAUCAUUUGCUUCUGAUCUUUUCACCCACUCCUCUUGAUCCUCCUUGCCUUCCUUAAAGUUUCAUCUUGUAUAGGAUUGUUUAUCUCUCUUUAAGUGAAUCUGAAUAUGUUAUUCAUUGGCGUAGGUGUAUCAAUUGUCUGUGGGUUAACCAAGCGCUCGUAGCUUGGUGGUAAAGGAGGUACAGCUGUACUGCCCGCCACCCGGAUUCGAGUCUUGGCCACAACGGAUUUAACAUCCCUUCCGUUGGGGCGCUGGACCCCUUUCGGGGGGAUAGUUGGGAAUGUGGCUGCCCAGAUACCAGAGUUAUCAAAAAAAAUUGUCCGUGGGUUGAUCGUUACCUGUAACUAGAAGUCCAAACUAAAAAGAGCAGUAGCUAAAAUUUUUGCUAAAAUAUUUCAACGUAACGUGUACAUGUGAGAAUGUGUACGGAAAAACACUAGGAGAGAAUCAUGACACGUGCAAAUAAACUAUCGGUCAAACCUGGCAACGGGGACAUUUUUAUAUAUACCCACAUACAAAAGAGAAACUAGAAAAGAGAGAAGAAAUUGAGAGAGAGAGAACGAUGAAGACACAAGUGACUAUAGUAGCGGCUCUUAUGAUUCUGGUGGCUUUGUCUUCCACCUUGGAUAUGGUGAAGGUAACGGAGGCUCAAGUAAACUGCAUCGACAGUUGCACCACCGGCUGCGUCAAGCCCACCCCAAAAGAGACGAUCCGAUGCCACCACGAAUGCGACAAAAAGUGCAGCCGAGGUGGUAAAGGAGGAAGUGAGACUGGCGCUUAAACUUUGUUUUCACUAAGAUCCACAAAGAUACAAUUGUGUUGUAAUCUUAUCUUUAUAAUCCUCUCUUUCUAAAACGUACUAUGCAUAUUGUAAGUUGUAACCAAUAAAUCAAGUGGUUGUAGUUCAUCGUUGUGUUAAAAUGGUAAAGGAUUUGUCCCAUGGAUCAAAUCCUCCCACCAACUGUGGACCUCCUUGUUGGCUUUCUAUAUAGUCUAUGUAAACGCUUUAAAGGAAAAUUAUUCAGUUUUCUA